GAUGAACGCUGGCGGCGUGCCUAAUACAUGCAAGUAGAACGCUGAAGGAGGAGCUUGCUCUUCUGGAUGAGUUGCGAACGGGUGAGUAACGCGUAGGUAACCUGCCUGGUAGCGGGGGAUAACUAUUGGAAACGAUAGCUAAUACCGCAUGACAACAGUUAUUGCAUGAUAACUGUUUAAAAGGGGCAACUGCUCCACUACCAGAUGGACCUGCGUUGUAUUAGCUAGUUGGUGAGGUAACGGCUCACCAAGGCGACGAUACAUAGCCGACCUGAGAGGGUGAUAGGCCACACUGGGACUGAGACACGGCCCAGACUCCUACGGGAGGCAGCAGUAGGGAAUCUUCGGCAAUGGACGGAAGUCUGACCGAGCAACGCCGCGUGAGUGAAGAAGGUUUUCGGAUCGUAAAGCUCUGUUGUAAGAGAAGAACGAGUGUGAGAGUGGAAAGUUCACACUGUGACGGUAUCUGACCAGAAAGGGACGGCUAACUACGUG
rnacentral:rRNA from 1 species